UUGAUCAGAUUAACGGGACACUUUUCUUAUUUAAUUAACAGGUUUUGUUUAGUAGCGUAGAAAGAAAUGCUUUUAUUUACAAUAACCUCACUGCUUUGGUGUUAAUUUCAUGUUCACACUUUUUAUGAAUUUGACGUGCUGCUCUAUCGGAAGAUGCACUCUACUUGUUUGUUCAAGGUUUGAAAAGAAUGCACUCUACUCUUCUCUAUCGGAAUGAUCUGCACUUGAGCAUAAAAUGAGUUCAGUUGCAACCAUAAAGUGCAUGAAUAAAGUACUUCACUUGAGUUAAAAUGUUGGGGUCGGAAUCAGCUUUUAUCACUCACAUAUGUUGAUCGAUUAAUAUAUUGAAAUAGGGAAAAAAAAUUUCAGACAACGUAUAUGCAUGUACUUAUUUGUUGUAAACUUUAUACCAUGUAAAAAUAUUAGACUUCAUAUAAUUAUCUUGUAUGUGGUAAAUGGGAAACCGGGCCAACUUGGACUCACUUUAGCUAUUGAAGAUCUUGGCAGUAUAAUGGGCUAUUUAUGAAGUUCGACUAUGUUUCUUUUUUAACUUUCAUUGAAGUAUUGGCCAUGCUUUUUUACUUGGUUGAUUCACAGAUUUUUGUUUACCAUAGAUAGCUUUCAAACCUCCUAUGCCUUUCUUUCCAUGUUUUAGUAGCAUUAAUUCUUGGGUAAGUGGAGAGUCUAAAUGCCACCACUUCAAAAUUAUAUAGCUUAAGGUUUUGGAUUUAGGCUCAAAAAGUUGGUGCUUUCUUCCUUUUAAUUAGUUGUGUUAUGUAUUUGGUAUGUCUGCACCUGUAAGUGGGCUUAUACAAUGCAGUUGCAGUUGAAUUUUAUACAAUGCAAUGGACUAAGCUCAUAUGUAUAUUAUCAGACCAUGGUCUUAUGCAUUUGAUAUAUAUAUAUAUAUAUUGUUUUAAAUUGCUUGGCAGCUUCUGUUGGCUAUUAAACUAAUACCUAGUAUUUUUGAGGUAUGAAAUGCCCAAAUCUGUAUGGCUUGUAUCACUGUUUCCCUUGAUGGCAUUGAGCAGCUAAUAGACUACGUAUGAGGAAUUAAGGAAUUUGUCUACAUCUGAAUAAUGGGAACUUCGAAAUGGUUAGAUAUGGGAUGUGGGAAGUGGAAGGCUAAAAUUCACACUAACAGGACACAUUGAACAAAUACGAGGCCUUGCUGUCAACAACAAACAUACUUACAAGUUUUCUGCUGGUGAUGACAAACUAGUGAAAUGAUGGGACCUUGAGCAGAAUAAGCCUUACACCCUAUACGUGAUUGUGUUAAUGGUGGACCAUGAAGAAACAAGUGACAGAUCCUGGUCUCAUGACUGCCCAGUUUACUGCUGCAGGUGGUUGUGUGUGGGGCCAAAUAUGAUGUUUGCCUUGCUCAUCUGAGUGUCUUCCUUGACAGAUCUUUAUUGGAACAGUGAUGAAUAAACACAAGUUAGAACAACUGUUUUUUUCCUCUUGUUUGUGUUCUCUGACUUUUGCAACAGUUUUGUAUUGGCUAAUCUCUAAUAAUGAAAAAAACAGCUGGACAUGGGCAGAGAGUCUGAUAAUUAAAGCUGGUACGUGUGAUGGUUUGACAUUUUUAAAUCUUCUACUCCCGCAAACUAUGGCUGUCUAAGAUAUGUGUGAAUCAUGAUCAUAUGCCCAUCUGGUAAGUGAUUAAUUCUCUGUUUAUUGUACUUUUUAUUCUGAUUUUUUUAAAAGGAAUUCAUCAAAAUUUUUUUUUUUUAAAAGGACUUUUCUUAGAUUUGUCUAGGUUUUUGUUCUACAAAAAUUAAUUCAAUCGAUUUUGAUGCUUUUAGGUCUCUCUCUAUCAAUUUUUACUAGGUGAUGUUGAUCUCUAUUCUUGUGGUUCAAAUUUGUUUUGAGGCUAAACUUCUUUUACUUUUAACAUGACCUUCAGAGUGCCUUAAAUAAUAGACAAUGUAGACUUCUAUGACAAAAGUUUCAGUACAUUUGGGAAUAAGAGGUGUAGUUUAUUGCUUAUUGCAUGUUUUUGGGUCAUUCAGUUACAGAUCUUCAGGUUCUUAAAUAAAAUCUCAACCUUUUGCUUAAGGUUUCUGAUUUAUUUGUUGGUGUGGUGCGUUGAUUAUCUUUGUUUCUUAAUUGGUUAUGAGCAAGUCAAUUUUCUAGCAAAAAGCAGGCUGUGUUUGGAUGUGUAUAUCGUUUCUUGUAUUUGGUUGGCCACAUUCACAUCGUUACUUUUUGAAUGCUAUGUAAAACUUGACGGAGCCAAGUGAAUCCAAGCUUUGUUCAAACCUGGCCACACUUUAUUUGAUGUGGAUAUUCUCAUUAUAUAUAUGUUUGAACCUACAGUUGUAAACAAUUUUGUAUGAGAGGCUGUGCUUCUCCUUGAAGUCUUUCCUGAAUAUUCGAAUCUGCCUGUCUGACUCUUGGUGGAACUUUUUUCCAAUCGGCAAGCCACAAGUGUGCUUGGGUGGAACUUCACUCUCCUUUGAGAUGGAGGGGAGGUCUCAUUUGAGUUAGUUUCUCAUUGGCAUGUCUGUCAUUUUUAAUGAUAUGAAACCAAAUAGAUAAUGUAGUUUUUCAUCGAUGCUAGACCUAUUGAUUUUGAUUUUGUUCUCUAAACCUUAGUAAUUGAUUACGUUAUCUUUGAGACUAGUCUUUUUCCUUUUGCCCACCUCAUUAGGAAAAAGGAGAUAACAUUUAUGCAUCCAACAAUUUUUGGAGAAAAUUAUAAACUUUGAUGGUGAAAUCCCACUUCUUUUCUCAGUUAGCAUGUGUCAUAGUCCACGAAUGGAAUGCUUGGGCCAGGCUUAGGCUAAGUCUAAUAGGGCCUGAUUUACUUAAUUGUCAUCAUGUUAGGGAGUGAGCCGCAGAGUAGCUGGUGAUUUACUUAAUUGUCAUCAUGUUAGGGAGUGGGCCGUAGGUUAGCUGGGCCUUAGUUGGUUUGUUUUCUUUUGUUAAGUUGCUUAGUAGUCAUGGGUCAUAUUGGAGCAAGGCUGAGGCCUUCUUAUCCAGUGUUUUGCGUUUUAGCAUAUAAUGGUACUGUAGCUAUUGAAAAUGGAUAUCCAUAAACUUAAUACAAUAUUUUCCUACUUAUGAUCUCUAUCUCUUUUCUUUCGGAGACUUGGUCAACCUCGAAUCUGACAAUUAUCUUUACAUUUUGUCUCAUAUUUUCUAGUUAUCCAAACACUACCCAUCAGGUGUGUUACAAGUGGUAUCCAGAGCCAAGCUUUCAUUGGCAGCUACUUCAUCAAUCCUAGAAAUGGAAGAAAUUAUCUCAUCAUUACUUAAAAUUAAAGAGAUGGUCAAGCAAUCGCAACAACAUUUUGAAGUUAUUUUGUAGAAAUUCAAAGAUGUCGAGAAUAAUUUUCAAGGCUUUAGGAACAACUUCAAUGAACAGUUUGCCUAUUUGGAACAAGAGCUCUGUGCGUUGUCGGAAGAGGAAGAUCAAACCAAGGGUCAUCCCAUCAAAAUUCCUUUUCCAAGAUAUUCUCUUGAAUAUCCGAAAUUAACUUUCCAACACUCAAAUUUCCCUCUACGAUUUUCGUUUCCAUCACUUUCUAGAAAUGAUCUCAUCUUUCAUUCCCUCCCGUCAGAUGUCCCAAUCAAGGCCCAUACAAUGCUCAGAGAAGGAAAAUCCAUCUGGAUAGUUCUCGAUACCAGAUGGAAGUUUGAUUCGGGUGGAUCCGGUCCUCAAUAUUUCCGUUUCCCACAUCUCCAGAUCCCUCAGAUUUAUUUCUUCUCCUACACUUUCUUGAGAAACAAACACAUAUUUACAAGGCCCUUAAGUUUUUCCUUCAUGGCAGGUACAUUUGUUUUCUCACAUUUCUUAUUCUCUAACCUUUGUCUUUGUUGAUGUCACUUUAAAUCCAAAAAGCCAACAACACUUCUUCCACUCCUUGCUAUAUUUCUCUUGUUUAUUUCCUCUCUUUCCCAUGUCUUUCUUCAUUUCCAAUUACUGUCCAACGGACGUGAUUGCCGACAGAUCAUCAUCAAUUUGAGAAUUGCAUGUAAUGUGUUUGAUAAAAGGCCAGAGAAAAUACCAGAAGCUAAGGCAUGACUCACAAGAUGCUUUUCAUGUGUUAAGCAGCGAGGCAGUUCCUCUGUGGGUCCAAAAAUUUUGGUAGUAAAAAACUAAAUGCCUGUUUCUUCUGGUGGGGGAACUGGGAAGUAGUGUUUUCGCUGGACUUCAAACCUUCAUGACCGUUUAGUCGAUGCCAUCACUCAACUAGGUGGGCCAAACAGGGCAACACCGAAAGGUGUUCUAAGAGACAGAUGGUUUUCGAGAUGCUUGGCUUGUUGCGAGUAUUGUUGAAGUAGCGGAGACUGGCCACAAAGUGCUUGCUAGAGAUAAAGCCAUUGGAGUUUAGACGAAGUGUGAUCCUGAUGAUCCACUUGUUUGUCUUACUCUCUUUGAGAAAUUGUUAGCCACCUGGGGCUCUUCAAACUGUCGAAACAUCAGAAUAAAUUUGAUUACCCAAUUGCUUGUGAUGUGUCAGACAGAUUUUCAUGUCCUUUUUGGGUUCAUGAGCAUGAACAUUUCAAAAUUGGUAGUGGAAUCACUCAAAGAUGGAAGUUCUGAUGUAGUUUUAAAGUUUCAUAUGCACACUUUUCAUACAUCAGAAGCUGCAAAAGUCUCAUCUCUACUCUGUGUUGACAAAGAUGAGUAAUGGAGGCGCACGGUUGGAGGCUUUUUUUUGAACCAUUGCUUGAUCUCUGUACUCUAGAAAAUGUUGUCAUUGUUCAUAGAUCUCUACGUAUAUUGCAUGUCUCUUUGAAGCACCUCUUGAGUUUGGAAAGGAAGUUCGAAAGACGGGACAAUGUGAUUGUUGAAGGACUUCGCUCUGGGAACAACAUUGUGGAUUCUCAUGGAUUUGAUAGGGGCAUGUGCUUUGUGAGCGUAAAUGAAAUAUUUUAUUCAAACUCCACUCCACUUGGGGAAUAUAUUACCUGAUGCUAGAAUUUCAGGCAUGGAGACCUGUAAUCAUGAUAUUACUAUUUGAGUUUUGCAUGUAGACUGGUUUUCUCUAGUUGAAUUUAUGCAUCAAAUUUCCAUAAGGAAUCUUGAAGAAUGUGUGAACCUAGAGACAAUCUUAGUGAUGAAUGUGAUUAUAACAAAGUCUAGUGCUUAUAUUGAGAGGGAAAAGUUUGCCCUGACAAUGGUGUUAGAAAGUCUUUCACAAUUGCUGAGAAAGGAAGUUGGCUUGCGAAUGCAAAAGCAUGUUGUGCACGCUUUUAUAAAGAAAAUUCUUGUUUUUGAUCUAGGUGGUGGGACAAUCGUGGGCAAAGAUACAACACCUUGUAGACAAGGUGCUUUUAUGGGGGAUGGUUUGUCACAGUCCACGAAUGGAAUGCUUGGGUCGGGCUUAGGCCAAGUCUAAUCGGGCCUGAUUUACUUAAUUGUCAUCAUGUUAGGGAGUGGGUUGCAGAGUAGCUGGGCCUUGGUUUGUUUUCUUUUGUUAAGUUGCUUAGUAGUCGUGAGUCAUGUUGGAGCAAGGCUAAGGCCUUUUUAUCUAGUGUUUUGCAUUUUAACAUAUAAGGGUACUGUAGCUACUAAAAAUGGAAAUCUAGAAACUUAAUACAAUAUUUUCCUACUUCUUAUCUCUAUCUCUUUUCUCUUGGAGGCUAGGUCAACCUUGAAUUUGACCAUUUUCUUUACAUUUUUUCUCAUAUUUUUCUAGUUAUCCAAACACUACCUAUUAGGUGUGUUAAAUCAUGUUAGUCCAGAUCUUUCAGCGACUCUUCUAUAAAUGAAAAUAAUGAGUCUUGAACAACUCAAUAUCAUUGUCAAAAGAAGAUGAAUCAUUCUCAUAAUCGUGUAUGUAUGUUGUUGGGUAAAUCAGCUAUAUAAGUGUGUUUAAUGCAAUGGGUGGAAUAGCAAGGAAUGGCGGCCCCUCUAAUAUGUAAGAACGAGUGUUACUCUAAUAUUUUUAAUUUUAUUUUACUUUUUGUGGCAUCCCGUUUCUCGGUAAAGAGAUUGGAGAUUCGUGGUGUCGGAGAUGUCAGCGAGUUAGCAACAUCCCAAUUUUUAUUGUUGGCUCUAGGCAUGUAAUCAUGUAUUGAGUAUGUAGUUGGUAAAAUAAGUUUGAAUGGAAUGAGAAAGGAUUAGUUAGAAACUAAUUGCUAAUUGUACAUGGGGUUUAUACCAAAAAGAAAUUCAUUUAUUAAUAAUAGUAAUAUCUAUAUGUCAUUGAUACUUCCCAAAUAAUAUUAUACUCUACCAACCCCAAGGGAUGGUCCAAGUGAUGAAAACCUUGGUCUUUGGAUAUCACUCCCUUCAAGGCUCAAUGUUCAAUACCUCUCAAGGACAAAUAAUUAUUUGGGGCCAUACCCCUUGGUGAAAAGCCAACGAUUAAAUUAGUUUCGUGUAGGGAAACUUUCGAGUGUGUGGUGCCUGGAAUCGGGAUUUACUCUGCAAGAGUGGGUUCAAAGGGCCCUGCUUUGGAGAGGUUCCCCGACAUAAAAAAAAUAUUAUACUCUUACCAACUGUUAAUUAGUUACAUUUAGGUACAACGAACUGAACAUAGUUCAUCUCCUGACUAAAAGGUACAUCUUAACAAUUACAAAUAAUUAAUAGUAGAGACUGACUUUCGUAUUUCCAACUCAGGUAGGAUCGGUGAUUCUUUCUUGGGAAACUUUGCUUGGGUUACAUUUGCAUCAAGAUCUAAGGGUGGGUUUGGGUGUUGAGAAUUGUUGUGAAUAGUAGUAAAAAGUAAGUGGAAAGUAAUAAUAAAGUAAUGAAUAGUAAUAAAAAGUAGGUGAAAAGUAAUAAAUAGUAGUAAAAGUAGGUGGAAAGUAUUUAUAAAAAAAAAGUAGGUGGAAAUUAAUAAUAAAGUAAUGAAUAGUAGUGAGAAGGUACUUUCAGUAUCCAAAUACAGCCUAAGGUUUUGGUUAACAAUAUGGCAGGUGGGACCACCAUAGUAGGUUAAACAACCAUGAUAGUACUAUUAAUGAUGAUAAAUAUGCAUGCACGGUUUUAUGUAAAUUGAUUUAUGAACACAUAUUUAUUCAUGGUGAGGAAUCACCAUUCAAGCAGAAAUACAUGUAUUCAUAGUUAUAGUGAGGAACCACCGUCUGAAUAAAUCACAAAUAUAUAAGGAUGUCAAGGAAUUAUACUCUGAACAAAACUCAUGUAUGCAUAGUUAUUAUCAAGGUGAGGUAUUUCACAUAGUAAAUAUACGAACAUAGGAUUUUCGUACAUUUUCAGUUUCAUUCACAUUGUAUCACAUAUUUUGACUGAAUAAAAUAUUUCUUUGUAGAUGAUAUCAAUACGUUAUCAUUCAUUUCCAUACACUUUAUUAUUCUUCCUAUUAUUUUGUCAGUAAACACUUUUGUAGCCCAUAUCUUAGGAUUAGUGAUCGUUGUGAUCAUAGUUCCACAUGAAAUUGACAGAUGAAACCUAGUAGAUUGAAAUGGUCAUCACAAGUGUAACCAGUGAGCCACCUUGACAUUGCAAUCUGCCCCUCAUCCUUUGGUAACAUAAUUUUGUAACAUUCAUCGGACCUCUCAUUUUAAGUCUCAUGUAUUCAAUCCUUCAUUACUUUAUUUUCAUUCUUUUAUUUCAUUCUUCACAUCAUUCAUUUACAUUUAUAGGGUGUUUGAAUGGAGGCAAUCUUUUAGAGUUUAUAGGAGUUCUAAAAUAUUACUUUGAUUAAAGAGCAAUGUUAUUUUAAGACUUUUACACCACAUACUAUCCAUAUUGUACAAUUUGAUUUGUAAGAUUCAAUCUCCAAUUUCUGUGCUUGGUGAAAAUGAUUCAGCUUCAGCACUUAUUCUUCUAGGCACAACUGUUUGGAAUAAGUCUUUGGUGCAGAUUGUUUUUAAUGAAGAUGAAGUUGAAAUGAUUCUUAAUUAUGUGUAUUAGUCCUUUGGCAAGUGAAGUCAGAAUGGUAUGUGGGUGUACUUAUGAUGAGAGAUUUUAUGUUAAAAGUGCAUCUUAUCUUCAACUCAA